UACGUAGGCGGAAGAUUAAGUCAGUGGUGAAAUCCUGCAGCUUAACUGUAGAACUGUCAUUGAUACUGGUUUUCUUGAAUUUAGUUGAGGUAGGCGGAAUGUGUAAUGUAGCGGUGAAAUGCUUAGAUAUUACACAGAACACCGAUUGCGAAGGCAGCUUACUAAACUAUGAUUGACGCUGAGGUACGAAAGCGUGGGGAGCGAACAGGAUUAGAUACCCUGGUAGUCU
rnacentral:rRNA from 1 species